rnacentral:rRNA from 1 species
UACGUAGGGGGCUAGCGUUGUCCGGAAUCAUUGGGCGUAAAGCGCGUGUAGGCGGUCCGGUAAGUCCGCUGUGAAAGUCGGGGGCUCAACCCUCGGAUGCCGGUGGAUACUGUCGGGCUUGAGUACGGAAGAGGCUAGUGGAAUUCCUGGUGUAGCGGUGAAAUGCGUAGAUAUCCGGAGGAACACCGGUGGCGAAGGCGGCUUCCUGGACCGACACUGACGCUGAGGCGCGAAAGCUAGGGGAGCAAACGGG